rnacentral:misc_RNA from 1 species
GAAAUGCGAUAAGUAGUGUGAAUUGCAGAAUUCAGUGAAUCAUCGAAUCUUUGAACGCACAUUGCGCCCUUUGGUAUUCCAAAGGGCAUGCCUGUUCGAGCGUCAUUUGUACCCUCAAGCUUUGCUUGGUGUUGGGCGUCUUGUCUCCAGUUCGCUGGAGACUCGCCUUAAAGUAAUUGGCAGCCGGCCUACUGGUUUCGGAGCGCAGCACAAGUCGCGCUCUCUUCCAGCCAAGGUCAGCAUCCACAAAGCCUUUUUUCAACUUUUGACCUCGGAUCAGGUAGGGAUACCCGCUGAAGUUAAGC